rnacentral:lncRNA from 1 species
CAUAAAAAUUUAAAACUUUUCUUUACAUGAACAUCAACCAAACUCAACCUGUACAUAAACAUUAACAUAACAUUGAUCCCUCUGUGGGAUCUCAUCAGUGCCCCCAAGGGGUGACAUAACAUACGUUGAGUUGGUUUACAUAAACAUCGUAAAAAUCUCUAAGAUCAUGUGUAAAAGGGAUAACACAAUCUAUGGUCAAGCACACACUAACAUCCAUAAACCUUAUUACAU